rnacentral:rRNA from 1 species
GUGGGGAAUCUUGCGCAAUGGGCGAAAGCCUGACGCAGCCAUGUCGCGUGAAUGAUGAAGGUCUUAGGAUUGUAAAAUUCUUUCACCGGGGACGAUAAUGACGGUACCCGGAGAAGAAGCCCCGGCUAACUUCGUGCCAGCAGCCGCGGUAAUACGAAGGGGGCUAGCGUUGCUCGGAAUUACUGGGCGUAAAGGGCGCGUAGGCGGACAGUUUAGUCAGAGGUGAAAGCCCAGGGCUCAACCUUGGAAUUGCCUUUGAUACUGGCUGUCUUGAGUACGGGAGAGGUGAGUGGAACUCCGAGUGUAGAGGUGAAAUUCGUAGAUAUUCGGAAGAACACCAGUGGCGAAGGCGACUCACUGGCCCGUUACUGACGCUGAGGCGCGAAAGCGUGGGGAGCAAACAGGAUUAGAAACCCCAGUAGUCC